rfam:Alligator sinensis unplaced genomic scaffold scaffold23_1, whole genome shotgun sequence
GUUUAGUAGCAGUGGCAGUAUCAUAGCCUAUGAGGCUGAACUGGGGCAUGAUCAUUGCUAGUUGAAAACUUUUCCUGUCAAUGAUCUGGAAACGAGAAUGACCAGAAAAGUGGUACAACUUUCAAGUG